rnacentral:rRNA from 1 species
AACCCAAACUUCGGUUUGGUUAUAAAGUGGCGAACGGGUGAGUAACACGUGACCAACCUGCCUUCUAGAUCGGGAUAACUCAAGGAAACUUGUGCUAAUACCGGAUACUCCGGAGCAAUCGCAUGGUAGCUCCGGGAAAGCUUUUGCGCUAGAAGAUGGGGUCGCGGCCUAUUAGCUAGUUGGUGGGGUAGAGGCCUACCAAGCCUGCGAUAGGUAGCCGGGUUGAGAGACUGAUCGGCCACAUUGGGACUGAGAUACGGCCCAGACUCCUACGGGAGGCAGCAGUGGGGAAUUUUGCGCAAUGGGGGCAACCCUGACGCAGCAACGCCGCGUGCGGGAUGAAGGUCUUCGGAUUGUAAACCGCUUUCAGUAGGGAAUAAGUAUGAAGGUACCUACAGAAGAAGCACCGGCUAAAUACGUGCCAGCAGCCGCGGUAAUACGUAUGGUGCAAGCGUUAUCCGGAAUCAUUGGGCGUAAAGCGCGCGUAGGCGGCUUGUUAAGCAGGAAUUUAAAUCUUAGGGCUCAACCUUAAGUCGGUUCCUGAACUGGCAGGCUCGAGUGCGGUAGAGGAAGGUGGAAUUCCCAGUGUAGCGGUGAAAUGCGCAGAUAUUGGGAAGAACACCGAUGGCGAAGGCAGCCUUCUGGGCCGCCACUGACGCUGAGGCGCGAAAGCUAGGGGAGCGAACAGGAUUAGAUACCCUGGUAGUCCUAGCCGUAAACGAUGGGCACUAGGUGUGGGGAGGAAUUCUCUCCGUGCCGCAGCUAACGCAUUAAGUGCCCCGCCUGGGGAGUACGGCCGCAAGGCUAAAACUCAAAG